rnacentral:miRNA from 1 species
GAAGUGGAGCACAUCAGUGA